rnacentral:lncRNA from 1 species
GCUGCCUCGCUAAACGAUGCACACCUGUAACUCACGUGACCCUGAUUAUUAUUGAAAUGAGAACGAGGGCAUGGCUUCAUUUGCAAAGGUGGUUGUGUGUGUCCUCAUUGCUUGUGUCUGUAAUGCAUUCUGUUUUCCGAAGAGAGAUGUGAACUUUAAGGCCUCUGCAGUUGACCGCCAAAGUGAUGAUGUGGUUGUCACCACAACACCCGUUCCCCACAACCAGACCACAUCUGCCCAUACUGAAGCUGGUAGUGGUGCAAGUGAAGAUGCUGUGGCUACUACCCCAGCACCUAAUCCACACAACCAGACAACUUCUGCACAAGCUGAAGUUACUGAUGGAGCCAGUGAAGAUGCUGUGGACUGCCAAAGUGAUGUGGUUGUCGCCACAACACCCAAUCCCCACAACCAGACCACACCCGCCAAUACUGAAGCUGGUGAUGGAGCAAGUGAAGAUGCUCUGGAUACCACCCCAACACCAAAUCCCCCAACUACAUCUGACCACACUGCAGCUACCGAUGAUGCAAGUGAGGGUGCUGUGGCUGCCCAAACUGGAACUACUUUAUCCCAUAUGACUGAUGUCUGAUUCGACUGCUCCUCUGGUCACAAUGACCUGAGUCACUGUCUGGACUUUUUGCCUCUACAUGUUGACUGCAAUAAAGGACAGAUUUAUUUUCA